CAGUACGCUGCCACAGUGUUGCCUCAGCGAGGAGCAGCAGAGCAACAGGGAGUUGGAUCCAGCGCCCUCGCCGGUGUGCGUGCCCUGUGUGUGGCUCUCGCACACUGUAUGUGUGUCUCUCCCCUUUUGGUGACGUAUGUGUGCGUGAAUGUGUUUUAAAUUAACCCCUUUCGACUCGACCGAGACGAAACUUCGCAACCAGAGCCACAGUAGUAGCAGAUAUUGCGGUGUCUGGCGGUGGUGGUGAUGCAAAACGUCAGCCGAGAAAAGAAUCGAGUGAAUCCAAUCGAGGAAAACAAGAAGAAUUUCAAGUCAAAUCCCAUUCGGUUGGGUGUCAGUCAGUGCGGUGUUGUAUAUAUGAUCCGUAAUUAAAUAGGCAAAAGUGAACGCGCAUCGUCGUCGCGGUGAAAAGUGUGCAGUGUAAAAGCAAAAGUCGAAAUUGGAAAACACCACCGCCCCGUGUGUCUGCUCCGAGACGUGUGGCUCCGAGCUAGAUGAAAAGAAGAAAUUGUAUCUUUUAAUGUAUUUUUGCUCGAUUGGGAAAGGGAAGUGAAAAUCGGGGUGCCCAGAGUGAUUUCCUUACGAUUUUUCAGCGGAAGCUUUUAUGAUCUUGGUGAUCUUGAAACUCAAUUAUUGUUGGAGGAAGUGAAAAGGGAGGCAGGAUAGUUUAAGGGAAGAAUCACAUACAACGGCAACAACGAUAACAACAACAGUGAAGCACAAGAGAAAAAAGAAACCCAACGAACAACAACAAUGUCGAUGGACAACCGAAGUACCUCGGCCCUGUUCAAAAGGGCCGAGCAGUUGAAACGGUGGGAAGAAUCGGAAGCCAACAAGCACAGUGGCAUCCCGAAGAGUCCAUCAAUGCGCCGGAUUAAGUUCUCUUCGGGGUGCAUCUUUCUGGCUGCCUGCGUGGCCGGCGAUAAGGAUGAAGUCUCACGGCUGCUGGAAACCGGCGCCGAUAUCGAUACGGCCAACGUGGACGGCCUAACGGCGUUGCAUCAGGCUUGCAUCGACGACAACUUAGAUAUGGUGGAAUUCCUGGUACAAAAUGGAGCCGAUGUCAACAGAAAGGACAAUGAAGGAUGGACGCCCCUACAUGCCACAUCUUCCUGCGGUUUCCUCAGUAUAGCGCGCUACCUAAUAGAGAAUGGCGCCGACCUGGCGUCAAUCAACAGCGACGGCGAGCUGGCCCUGGAUCUGGCCUGCUCGGACGCCAUGGCGGAUCUCAUCCAGCGACACAUCGACGAACAGGGCAUUGACUGUGAGGACGCUCGGCAGGCCGAGGAGAAGAUCAUGCUCAGUGACGCCAAACGGUGGCUCCGCACCGACAGUACCGAUUGUGAUAAAGCCCACCCGAAGACGGGCGCCACGGCGCUGCACGUGGCCGCUGCCAAAGGAUACGCGAAGGUGCUCGGCCUACUGCUGGACGGCCGGGGGGACUUCGACAAGCAGGACGUGGACGGUUGGACGGCGCUACACGCGGCCGCCUACUGGGGCCAGAAGGAAGCCGUACAGAUGCUGCUGGGUGCGAACGUCGACAUCGACAUCCAGAACUACAGCGGCCAGUACGCGAUCGAUAUCGCACAGAAGGACAUCAUGCCACUGCUGGACGAGGCACGGAAGAACUUCAAACGGCCCAAACGGCGACCGGCUAGUCAGAUUAGAAUUACGGAUACCAUUGAGAACAGCAUCGAGACACCCACGAAGGUCAUCCGGGUGGAGGUGAAACCGAUCGACAGCAAAGAGCAAGAAGAAGUUAUUAGCGGCAGCGAAUUGGACGAAGAAGAAGAAGUGGAAGAUGAGGAGGAGGAGGAGCAAGAAUUAGAACAGUCAUUGGAAGAGGAAAAUGGGAUUGAAGAAGAAGGGAAUGGGAGUGAUCGCGACGGGAGUGUUGAACCUGAAGAGUCCGCUGAGGAGGAGGAGGCGGAAGAAGCGGAUGAACCGGAAGAAGAUGCGGAAGAGCAGGAGGUCGAGGAGGAGGAAGCCACGGUAGAGCCGGAAGAGGAGGAGGCUUCUGAGGUGGAGUCGUCGUCUUCGUCGUCGUAUUCUUCUUCAUCAUCGACCGAAAGUUCAACGUCAUCGAGCGAGAGCAGCAUGACCGAAGAAUCUGAAGCAGAAGACCGUUCCAAGCCCGUUCCAAUAAUUUCCCGUCCGAGUCCGGUUCCCGUGGCGGAGCAAAUUAUCGUUCCGAAACCGCGCGUCGAUGGAGUGCAUCGGGAGCUGCCGGCGGCGCCACCACUGCCGCCACCGCCCAUCGUAUCGCAACAGAUGGCGCCCCCGCCGGUACCGUGGCGUCGACCACGUGCCAUUCCGACUCCGGUUCCAACGGAGGAACACGAGUACCAGCAGCAGCAAAGUUUACAGAAGCUGCAGAAUGGACACUCCGCUGCCAGUCGGCUAUCGCCGUAUCGCAAUCUUCCUGAGAAAGAAAAUCAACCGAACGAGCCCGAUGUGAUACUGAGGCGGACACAGAGUUUCGAGAGCGAUGAAAAGUUCUAUCAAAAGUACGUCGAACUGCGGGCACGAAUACAGGCCAACUCGUGCCCGAUACUGCCAAACACGAACCCUGCGGCCAAUGCGAAACCUGCCACCGCCAACAAUACCAACAACAGCUAUCUCGUACAAAGGUCUGCCUCGCUCAAGGACCAUCGAACGUUAAGGAAAGCCUCCAGCAAUUUGGUGCUGGGGACCACCGGUAGUACGACCGGUUCCGCAACAACCAACGUACAAACGGCAACCACAUCGCCGCCAACUAGUCCCACCGGAACGCCCGUCACGACGCCCAGCACCGGACAGAUUCGAAGCAUCACACCUGUCAACAACAAAAAGAACACGACCAAUAGUCCUCCCAUACCAUCGGUUGAAGUCACCACCACCACCAACAACAACAAUAUUAAUAACAAGAAUGACACCAGCAGUAAUGCGGUCAACAAAAAUCAUAGCCUGUUCGAACUAAAUCGAAAAUACAUUGAACAAGCCCAAAAGACGAAGAUUAAUAAUGAGCGCAAUAAAUUUCUCUCGUCACUCAACGAGAAGAGGCUGCAACAGCAACAACAACAGCAGGAAGCGCCACAGCCGGAAGCGAAAGGGCCAGCACAAUCCGCAGCCGCAAAAUCCGGCCCCGCAGAAAAAGAAUCGUCGCAACCGGCGGAGGCACUCGCAACCGCUAAGAGCGUAGCCGGCGUCUAUGCCACCAGCGCUUCCAACAGCACCGAUAACGACGCCGCCGCUCCCAAUUCCAACAACGCUAGCAACAUCAAUUCCAACGCAAAUGCAACAUCGCCAACGCAGCAGCAACAACAACAACCACCACCAACCGUAGUCACCUCAACGAAUAAACUUUCGCCGGGAAAUAUUUUCAAAAACUUUUUCAAAUCCUUCGUGCCACCGACGCGCGACGAAGAGAGUGAAACUCAGCGGAAAGCGCACGCCAAGCGAGUCCGUGAAACGCGACGUUCCACCCAGGGCGUCACUCUGGACGAGAUCAAGAGUGCCGAGCAGCUGGUCAAGAAGAAGAAUUCCACCAACAGCAGUAGUGAUAGCGACCCAUCCGCAAGCUCAUCCACAACAGCAACCACCUCAAGCAGUACCACUUCAUCCACUCUCAUCAACGAUCGUGUGCCGUCGGUGGAUGCCAGUUCCGAGGUAAGCAGCAAAGUUCCUUCGUCGUCGAGUAGCAGCAACACUUCCGCCGAGCAGCAAGUGUCCGCCAGUUUCACCAUCAGCGCCCCGCCCUCUAGUUCUCUGCCGACAAAUGCUUCCAUCAAAUCCCAUCGGGGCGAUGUGGGUGGCGGUGGCAGCGGUGGCGGAGGAGGAGGAGGCAGCGACACCGCUUCCGCCACAGACGACAGCAAGAUCAGUGUUUCGUACACGAUCACCACUCCGAGGCUUAGUAGCAGUGUCACGUCCGGUAGCAGUGAUUCCACAACGACCGCCAAAGAUAGCAAAAGCAAGGACAGUAGCGCCCCUUCGGUAACAGCGACCUUCAGCGUGCCUACUGCGGCAUCCAUCAUCUCCUCCAGCAAUACCACGAAUAACAACAAUCCUAACAGUAGUAACAAUAAUCUUUACAAGAAGACUGAUUCGGACGACCUAACGAAAACGACGUCAACAUCGACGAAGUCAUCCGUAUCGACGGCGGCAGGGGAUUCAUCAUCGAUUAGUACGCCAGCGUCGUCAACAUCCGUGACGGCCACCAUUCGGACGCCGGGUCCCUUCAGUGCUACCAAACGAUCCCUGUUCGACAUCGACAAUGCUAAUUCCCUUACCCUGGCGGAAAAACUGCGCCAGGAGGCCAACAAAUACGCCGAGAGCGAUAAGGAGAACUUCGUUAGCUCGAAAGUACCAACGACCGCCGCAACGGCAGCAACGACAACGAAAAGCAGUAGUGAAUCAACCGCCUCGAAUACGACCCCGGCUGCAGCCGUAGAAGGAACGGUACUGCUGCGGAAAGACACCAGUGCACCUUCGUCCCCGUUACAUCACCACCAUCAUCAACCAUCGGCUGCGGCUGAGCGGAGGCCCUCGUGGCGGUUGAAAGUGGACGGAGGUUCCAAGUUCAAACUUGAAGACGCAUCCGCACCUACGAGUGCAGCUUCCACAAACACUACGAGUAGUAUCGCCACUGCCCUGGAUUCUUCCUCAAAUAGUCGACAGCAGCAGCAUCAAAAUGAACUCAAUAGUAUUUCAAUGUCAUCGUUGGCUCAACGAAGGCAGAACGGUGACAGUAGCAGCCUUAACACAUCUCGUCCGACGUCAGCUCCGGAACUGAGUUCCGCGGCAAGCGGUCUUCAAAACGACACAAGCCUGCAUCUGAGAACCCGACCACUGAAGGCGGCCAGCGAGGAGAACAAAGAGAAUGACAAGGAGAACGAGAACCGCACCGGUAGCACCACCAACAGUAGCACUGGUGCCCAAGCGACGCAGGCCGUGAUCCAGAGAAGGAGGCGUCAAAAGCGACGCUCCACCGGGUUGGUGCACGUCGACAUGGAGGAUAUUGAUCCUGACCGACAAGAUUCUCCUGUCGACGGUGAAGAGAAGGAGUCCGGAACGGAACGAGGUCGAUCGCGAGUUGGUUCGACCGCUUCCGAGCUAGGAGACCAUCAGAAGGACGAUAGCGAAUCCAAGGAGAAUGGUGGUGACUACAUCGACUACAAAGCUCUCUAUGAACAGGCCAAAGCUGAUAAUAAUAAGCUUAAGAGUGACUUAAGGAAAAAGGACGAGGAAGUAGUUAGUCUUCAAGCGGCGCUCGAAAGGUUUACCGUUGCGACCACCAAAAACAACUCGCUGUCCGAGCUGGAAAAGCGGGAAAAACGAGCGAUGGAACGGAAAAUGUCGGAAAUGGAGGAAGAGCUCAAGUUGCUGCAAAAAUAUAAAACAGAAAACGAACGCCUCCGAGCGGAAAACCGCGCCCUUACUCGAGUCGUUUCCAAACUGACCACCUCAGCGCAGAAUCAGCUGCACAAUAAACAAUAGCAGUGGCAGUAGUAAUAGCGGUGAUGGUAGUAGUAGCAGCAUACAUCGACCGGGGGAAGUGGUAGCAUAAGCAAUCUUACCGCAAGAUGCUGAGGUUUGCACAAACACACGCACACACAUAGACCUAAGAGUGCGAGGAAACAUUCAAAGCGCACAUUGUGAACCAAUCGCCCAGCAGAACGCCCCACUUCUCUAGUACUACGCGCAUUUUCUCUGAAAGUAUAUUAUGUAAUAGAUUAGUCGUUGAUAGUUAGCUUUUGUCGGUUGAGUAAGAUAUAACGACAGGAAAUGGAAUUGCAGUAGAAUAGCAUUUGAAGCCAAACAUUAUUCUAGCAGAAUUGAAUCCUAAAGUGCUAAACAAUGGUUACCGCCGAAAGUAAUAUAAUACCAUAAAUAUUACACCAAACUUAAUUAGAGAACGAAACCAAAAAUCGGUGCUGUGUGUCUGUGGAGUAACCAGAAACCCGUUCAUCUCAAAUGUUUUGGACAACGCCAUCCCUUCGGCCACUCAACCACCGACGACGACAACGAAGCACUAGGCCAGAUUAAAAUCAGAAAACAAAAAAAUAUUGCUACUAGUUAUUCAAGACCUUGCGAUUGACCUUAUCCACACAUUGCAUCGUCCAUACGUCAGCGUGCGUGUGUUGUGUCCAGAAUUUGGCCAUCCGAGAUAGAACUGAUUUUGCAACUGGAAGCCCUCAAGACCGAAAAUCAGCGCCUGAAGGACGAGAACGGAGCGCUCAUUCGUGUAAUUAGUAAGUUAAGUAGAUAGAGGCAGGCCACACUCGGCCCAGCGACGCUGAUUCAGUUAACAACAUCAACUACCACCCCCACUACAGCAACAAAUGCUAAAUAGAAAGAAAUUUUUUCGAACAUCAAUCAUUCAGGAGAGCAGCAACCGAGAAUGGAGCAGCAACAAUUUUUGUUUUACUAGUUUUUUUUUCUGGAAUCGGACUAAUUUAUUUUUAGUUUUGCCACAUGUAAUAACAGGAUAUAAAUGAAGGAAAAACAACGGAAUAUCUCUUCAAAUCAAACGUAUAGAUAGUACUAGGAAGGGACAAAUAACUAUUUAUUGGCAGAAAGAAACCACGACCACACGUAAAAAACAAGGUAACAUGAUUUCAACGAUAUUUUUAACGAGGAAAGAGUGGUGGUUUUGUAAGGAAUUAGUUUUUGGGGGAUUUUUUCGCCCAGUGUAGGAAAAUGCUUUGUACUUUUAGACCAUUAACGAUAAUUUUUUCAGUAGUGGAGAGAAAGAAUGGAAUAAUUAUUAUUUUUGUUGUUGAUUAAAAAUUCUUCGUGUAAGUUAGUUUGAUUCGGAAAUAUAUCGUUUCAAUCCGUUCCUUCGAUUUAGUAUAUGAUGGACGGACCAGCGCGGGCGAUGGCCGCGCUAUACUUUGUACAAAGUUUAACUGCUUUUUCUAUUUGAAUUUGUAACAAAUGAAAUAAAAAAAAAACAAUGAGUAAGGGAGCAUUAAGGAGUGCAAACAAUCCAGAAACAAUAAUUGAAGCUGUUCAAAACACAAAAAAUAAAAACUAACAUUUGAAGGUAUAUUUAUAGGACUUUUAUAGUAAUCCGUACGUAUUUAUAUUUAUACAUCAUUCAGCAUACAAGUUGCUGAUUCCUUUUGGUGAUUGUGUUUGUGCUUCCAGCAAAACCAUUUCAUAGAAUAGAUAUUUCAUCGGAUCGAAAUGUGACUGCUAAUUCAAAAUAACGGUUCUCUUCGAAGUGAUGAGAUUUGAGUUUGAAGUUAUUUUUUCGUGGACAGUCGUUUCCUCAGAAAUCUCGGCAAUCAAAUUGAUAAACUUAGAAAAGUGGAAAAUUGUUGGUUAUUUAGCAUAAUUACUUAUUUUGAUUAUGAGAAAGUACCAUUUUGCGCAUAAAAUUUAUAAGAAUUGAAUACUGAUUUGAGAUAUUUUUUCAUGCUAAAGUUUCCCUUUUCCUGGUACGAUACUCCUUCAUUCAAUCAGCAUAUCCGUUUCCUUGUAAUAGAUCUCAAUAAUUGCAAUAAGGGAAGGUAAAUUGGAAUGGUUAUGAGGAGAAAGUCAUGGGAGGUGAAUGUGAAAGAUUGAAAAACGAAAGGUCCAAUUCAAAAUCAAAUGACCCACCCUACCGUUGCCACAGAUAAAUCCUAAAUCUUUCUUACUUUUCCACCCCAUGAAUAAUACUACUAAAAUAGCAUUUUAGAGAUUCAUUGAAAAUGACUAAGCACCAACCAUUCGGAUGUUAUGUGCCCAUUUGGUUAACUAUUGACUAUUUUUUAGUUUGUAUUAAACUUUUUACUGAAGUCAAAACGUUCUAAUUAAAUUUUGUCUUCACCAACAGCAAUUUGUACGCUAAAGAUGGAAGUAAUUAGGACGAGAGCGUGUAUGCAUCCCUUACAUAUAGCUAGAAAAGAAAAAUAUACAAAUCUGAAGGCAUUUUUUUGGAAUAUGGUUUUGAAGAUUUGCAAUUGCUUUGAAAGCCCAAUAAAUGCAGAACUCCUAGAUUGGUUUUUACCAAUUUUAAGUCAAAAUUUUGAAACCUUCGAAGACCACCGAAUGAGCUAAUGUUGGAAGCAAUUCCAACGUAUCCCGCGUAUGUGACGGCCUUCAAUAUCUAUUUAUUAUCUGAAUCCCGUUUUGUCGAUAGAGUGAGAACAAUGUGAAAGGCAAUGUUUCAAAAUGCUGGCAAAGUCAAUGUCUCCGAAUAAGCAGAAAAAUGUAUGUUACUUGCUGUAUCUCUUGAGCGUUUUAGUUGAUAGUUAUUCUCUUCUUGAUUAGUCGUUUAAUGUGUAAUGCAAUUCUUGUAUGUAGUAGAAAGUUGCCGAAAGCUACGUAAAACAGGCAAAGAAGCAAACCCAAUAUGGGGAAUAGUACUUCUCCUCACUGUUUAUUGUCAUUAUUGAUUAUUAAGUAUGAUUAUUAAAAUUAUUUUUAUUAUUAUUGAACUAUAUCUUUAUCGUCAUAGUUAUGUUGUAUUUGUCAUCGAAUUAUAAGUGAAAAUUGAAGAAACAAACAACACUGCAUAGAAGCCACAUAACGCGAAACACCCCCACACAUACAAACUCAUUAAUACAUUGUAAUUUAUGUUUAUUGCUGCUGCGAAGAGGAAACGCGCAUUGUACUAUUAUUAUUUUCAAAACAAACGAAACAGUUAAAAAAUACAGAUGAAAAAAAAAUGUUAAAACAA